UACGUAGGGGGCAAGCGUUGUCCGGAAUUAUUGGGCGUAAAGAGCUCGUAGGCGGUUUGUCGCGUCUGCCGUGAAAAUCCGGGGCUCAACCCCGGACUUGCAGUGGGUACGGGCAGACUAGAGUGUGGUAGGGGAGACUGGAAUUCCUGGUGUAGCGGUGGAAUGCGCAGAUAUCAGGAGGAACACCGAUGGCGAAGGCAGGUCUCUGGGCCAUUACUGACGCUGAGAAGCGAAAGCAUGGGGAGCGAACAGG
rnacentral:rRNA from 1 species